UACGGAGGAUCCAAGCGUUAUCCGGAAUCAUUGGGCUUAAAGGGUCCGUAGGCGGUCUUAUAAGUCAGUGGUGAAAUCUCUCCGCUCAACGGGGAAACGGCCAUUGAUACUGUAAGACUUGAAUUAUUGGGAAGUAACUAGAAUAUGUAGUGUAGCGGUGAAAUGCUUAGAUAUUACAUGGAAUACCGAUUGCGAAGGCAGGUUACUAUCAAUACAUUGACGCUGAUGGACGAAAGCGUGGGGAGCGAACAGG
rnacentral:rRNA from 1 species